CUGAAGGUGACAACAAUACACACUAUUGUUUAACUGAAGGUGACAACAAUACACAGUCUUGUUUAACUGAAGGUGACAACAAUACACACUCUUGUUUAACUGAAGGUGACAACAAUAUACACUACUGUUUAACUGAAGGUGACAACAAUAUACACUACUGUUUAACUGAAGGUAACAACAAUACACACUACUAUUUAACUGAAUGUGACAACAAUACACACUACUAUUUAACUGAAAACAAUACACACUCUUGUUUAACUGAAGGUGACAAGACUAAACUCAUAAGACACACAAUAACAUCAUGUAUAUUGAGUCCUUUAUCACU